AAUAUAUUAUGUUUAAAAACCAACAACGAACUGGGUUUUGGAAGCGAACUCUCUAUCAUUGCUUUACUUUACUUGUAACCAUGGAAUGUGUUCACAUUUUGUGUAGAACGAUUGCAAGAAGGGCUUCACAUAGGAUGUCAAGACUUAUUACAUGACUUCAAGUCUUCAAGUUCAAACAAUACAAAUACAAACAAGGGCAGAGCCUGCAGACACUCCAGUGCUGUGCUUUAUGAGUCCACUCCCCAGGCGCCAUGACUGACAUCAUUUACUUCUUCUACACACAUUUUCUGUUCCUUUUCUCUCUCGCUAGAAUCCAUUACACGUUUCUGCUUCUUCCCUUGGAUUCUCUUCAGAUUAACACUAUAACGACAAACUAAAACAUUUUAAUUCCAUUCAUGUGCAUAUUCUCCAGUUUCAGCUUCCAAUUCCUUAAGAGUUUACAGAUUUUCUUCCAUUUAUUCAUUCAUUAACUUGUAAUGGAGAAUCAAGGAAGAAAAUAUGGUUGCAGGUAAGUUUCAUGGGAAACGAAAGGUGUGUACAAAAUAUGGUAGAGAAAUAAAUGGAUCAAUGAAGGAGGGGUAUGCAAACUCAGAUUGGUGUAGAUAUGGAACGAGGUAAAGAAUAGGAUUUUGAUAAUGGUGGAAAAAGCUUGUAAGAUUUGGGGGAACUUGGAUGCUCUUGUGAAUUGUUAUACCUAUCAAGGGAAGAUACAAGAUUGUCUAAGCUUAGCUGAAUGUGAGUUCAUGAAGUCGUGAAAGUUAAUUUCCUGGCAGCCUGGUUUCUCUUAAAAGCUGUUGGUAGAAGGAUGCGUGAUGCUAAAUCAGGAGGAUCCGUCAUCUUUUUGAGAAGGUUUAUUAUUUUCCAAAGUUUAUACAUGCCAUGCUCAUCCAUUAUGCUUUUUAGCAUAGUAAAUAAAUGAUGAUGGUCAGUGGAGAGUUUGAAAUUGUUUAUGACAUCGACUUGACCAUUUCGUAAUAUAAUAUUUCUCAUCUUAAGAGUUCUGUCAG